rnacentral:rRNA from 1 species
GCAGCACGAUGUAGCAAUACCCUUGUGGCGACCGGCGCACGGGUGAGUAACGCGUAUGCAACCUACCUAUCAGAGGGGAAUAACCCGGCGAAAGUCGGACUAAUACCGCAUAAAACAGGGGUUCCACAUGGAAAUAUUUGUUAAAGAAUUAUCGCUGAUAGAUGGGCAUGCGUUCCAUUAGAUAGUUGGUGAGGUAACGGCUCACCAAGUCCACGAUGGAUAGGGGUUCUGAGAGGAAGGUCCCCCACACUGGUACUGAGACACGGACCAGACUCCUACGGGAGGCAGCAGUGAGGAAUAUUGGUCAAUGGGCGAGAGCCUGAACCAGCCAAGUCGCGUGAAGGAUGAAGGAUCUAUGGUUUGUAAACUUCUUUUAUAUGGGAAUAAAGUGAGGAACGUGUUCCUUUUUGUAUGUACCAUAUGAAUAAGCAUCGGCUAACUCCGUGCCAGCAGCCGCGGUAAUACGGAGGAUGCGAGCGUUAUCCGGAUUUAUUGGGUUUAAAGGGUGCGUAGGUGGUUAAUUAAGUCAGCGGUGAAAGUUUGUGGCUCAACCAUAAAAUUGCCGUUGAAACUGGUUGACUUGAGUAUAUNUGAGGUAGGCGGAAUGCGUGGUGUAGCGGUGAAAUGCAUAGAUAUCACGCAGAACUCCGAUUGCGAAGGCAGCUUACUAAACUAUAACUGACACUGAAGCACNGAAGCGUGGGGAUCAAACAGGAUUAGAUACCCUGGUAGUCCACGCAGUAAACGAUGAUUACUAGCUGUUUGCGAUACACAGUAAGCGGCACAGCGAAAGCGUUAAGUAAAUCCACUGGGGAGUACGCCCGCNACGGUGAAACUCCAAGGGAAUUGACGGGGGCCCGCACCAGCGGAGGGACAUGUUGGUUUAAUUCGAUGAAACCGCGAGGAACUUAACCCGGGUUUGAACGCUUUCGGACCGGAGUGGAAACCACUUCUCCAAUAAAAAGCCGUUUGCGAGGG